UAGUAGAGGGGACUGGUUUGGAAAGCCGGCUAACUUCAAAGGGCCGGCCUAUUGUUUCGCUUUUGAGGUUGAACCGUACCAUCACGUGACCAGUACCGUGCACACAUCAAGAUAAACAUGGCUGACAUGAUCGAUUUAUUUUUGUUUGGAGACGAUUUCGACGCUGUCUUAGAAAUUUUAGAUGAAGAAGAAAUCGAUUAACACUUUGAAGAAGCUGCCGAUGAAGUUCAACUCGAAAGCAUUGUAUGUCAACAUUGCCACAAGAAAUGCAAGAGCAAGAGUGGACUGAAACGCCACAUAACUGUAAAGCACAAAGUUAUCGAAAAGGAAGACCAAGGGAAACGACAGAGCUAUUUAACAGUCGAAACUUAUUCAAGGAUUGUCGAGAAAGCCAAAUUAAAAUUGUGCGACUGCAAAAUGUACCCACAGCUGAAAAAAGAAUCAAGUCCUACAACUGCAACAUAACAUCAGAAUUCUUUGAAAUUCAGAACUUAUAUAACCGUUUAGUCAACUCUGGAAACGUUGAGAGAUUUUAUGCUGCUUUUUAAUCAAAUAUUGCUUUGCAUUCUGCGAAGCAUUUUGAAGGAUUAUCAAGGAAUGCUGCUACCCUACUUUCAACUAAGGUUGCUGACAGCAUGCUUGCACAUAGUGCUGAAGAGAAAUUACUUGCAAGUCAUACGUGUGUUUCAUUGACUAAACUGUCCGAUAAAGAAAAAGCUGGACUACAGUACAUUGGAGGUUCUGUACUCCACAAGCUUUACAACAAGCAUGCAAUUGUAAAGAAAUUAUUAGAAACUGAGCAAGCAUGUCUGUACUUAAGGCUGGGAAAUUAGAAGACCCUUCUGCUAUGAAACAGAAGUAAAAGUUUGCUCAUUUUCUUUUGCAAAGGACAUAAUACAGAAACACAAGAUAAAACUAAAACAGCUGAAAUCAAAAGCACUUCGCAAAGACAUCAUUAGACCCUCCACAGGAACUAAGGCAAAAUUAGACUGAAUUGCUUUUAGUAAUUAUCAUUUAUUAUUUAGGACAACUUCAACAUACAUACCAUAUUUCUCUGCCUAUAAGCUCAGGGCUUAUAAGCUCGGGGGGGGGGGGCCUUAUACGUGGAUCAAAAUAAAUUUCAGUUAGAAACUAUAAACUCGUUGGUGCAAAAAUGCACGAAAAGAACAUUAGAAACAUGAUAAGAAAGACAAAAUCUUUAUCUAUUAAGUAAAGAACAGGUUCAGUACUACUUGUGUGUUUACUCUUUGUUUCGAUCUGAGAAGUACUCCUGUAGCUGUGGCUUUAAAUCAGAAUCAAUGCAUUUAGACAGUGUGAUUUCCAUAAUAUUAUAGGCAUGAGAAAAUAGACCAAUCAGUUUGUAAAAGUUGAAAUUCAAAGAUAAAAGAAAAAAAUGGGCUUAUUUUUUCUACAGACUA